UGUCCUUAAGGUUUUCUGCCUGCAAAUUUGGGUAAAAGUUUUUGCUUGCAAGCUUGGGUUAAAAUUUGAGAUUUUGGUGACAAACAGAAUCUCAAAUCCUUUUGGAUUUUGGUCCUGAGACAAUAACCAAGAAUAGUUCUCCAAUUUGGCUCAUGCCCAUGUUUCCCUAACGGGGAAAUGAAUAACAACAAAUCCAAAAGCGUAGAAUGCCGUCCAGGGACUUCUGCACUAUUUGUAAACAAACAUUAUGGUCCUGCUACUCGAAAGGCAACCAGGAGUUGGACAUUUGCUCUCCUGUAUUCUUUCGGUGUGUCUUCUAGUCCUUAAAGUCUCUAAAACAGGUUAAAAUUUGCAUGCCUACCUAUUCUAUCUUUAAGAGAGAAAAACAGAAUAAAAGAAAAAUGCCUCAUUUGGAAAACAAGAUAAAACAACCCUUACAGAAAACUUUUGACGUGUCUAAUUUUUUUUCUAUGCAGUAAAUUAAAAAAUAAAAAUUACCAUUUUGAUUGGUACCAAGAGGCAUCCAAAACACUGGAACAGUAAAACUGCUUCCCUAAAAGACUAAAAUCUCAAGUACCCGUCACUUCUCUUUCUAUCUCCUUUGCUUUCAGCUUACUACCUAUACCUCCUGAUGAAUUUCCAGCAGCUGAAUUUUCAGAAGCCAAACCUUCAUGACAAGAAUUUGAGAUUCUCAACACUAGGAUUUGAGGUUUCAGCAAGUGUAGUAUUUAGAUCUCUAGAGCUAGGGUCUAAAUUUUCCAGACUAGAGUCUAUGUGAGCAGAACUAAGCUGCUAAUCAUUUUCAUUUUUAAACUGCACGAAAGUUUUUCUUUUCACUUCUGCUUCUAUAACUGAAAACGGCUGGAAAAUUACCUCCAAUUUUCUAAGUGCACAACGAUCUUUUCACAAAGCCUGGAUUUCCCCCUCACCAGGACGAUGGUUUGAGGUUCAUAUUCCAACACUGUAAGCUAAAAUAUAAGAGUCAUCCUUGCAAAAGAUGUCAUCACCUGCCAGGAUGGUCAACUGAGGCAUUGCCACCUACAGCUUUAAUAAUACUCCAUUGUAUGGAUGCACCACAGUUUGUUUAUCCAUUCACUUAUCGGAAGAUAUCUUGGUUGCUUCCAGUUUGGGGCAAUUAUGAAUAAAGCUGCUCUAAAUAUUCACAGGCAAGUUUUUGUGUGGACAAAAGAUUUCAGUUCAUUGAGGCAAAUACCCAGGAAUGUGAUGCUGGACCAUAUACAUGGAAUUAAUUUCCGGAUGCACCACCACUCUGAUUCCUCUCCCCUGGACAUAUGCCUCUUCUCGGGUUCUAAAUGAUGCCAAGCAUAAGGAUCCCCAUAACGUCAGUUUUUCUGCUGAUCACCACGUGAUUGCACAUGUACCUUUAGGACUAUUGAUUGAAAGUAUAUAUAGUGACAAAGAGCUGUUGUGAAUUCAAGAACACUCUGACAAAAAAAUGUGAUGAAGAUCAAGGACUACAGCCUUCAGUGUCGAUUACACCUCAACAUAAGGAAAACAAAAAUUCUCACAACUGGACCAAUAAGUGACAUCAUGAUAACAGAGAAAAGACUGAAGUUGUCAAAGAUUUCAUUUUACUUGGAUCCACAAUCAAUGCCCAUGGAAGCAGUAGUCAGGAAAUCAAAUGAAGCAUUGCUUUGGGCAAAUCUGCUGCAAAGGAUCUCUUUAAAGUGUAAAAAGGCAAAGAUGUCACUUUAAGGACUAAGGUGUGCCUGACCCAAGCUGUGUAUUUUCAACUUCUUCAUAUGCUUGUGAAAACUAGACAAUGAAUAAGGAAGACUGAAGAAGAAUUGACGCCUUUGAAUUGUGGUUUUGGCAAAGGAUAUUGAAUAUACCAUGGACUGCUGUCUUAGGCUGUGUUCUCUAGAGAAGCAAAACCAGUAACACAUAUAAAUAUAUAUAUAGAGAAAUUUAUAUCAAGGAAACAGCUCAUGUGAUUGUGGAGGUUGGAACGUCCCAAGUCUGUGGAUCAGGAUAGAGACCUCUCCCAAUUCAGGGAGCCAUAGAAGCUGGUGAACCAUAGAUUGUCAGGUCAGAGAGCAGGGUUCCCACUUACAAGCUGUGAAUGCUGAGGAAUCCCAAGGUCGGCAGGCAAUACCUCAAGGUUUCUCCUGAUUCAUUUAGCUGCAGAGGCUGUCAAACCCAAGAUUGGCAGGUUGAGGAGCAGGACUCCUGCUCACAGGCUGUGAAGAUUGACGAAUCCCAAGAUCAACAAGUAAGCUUCUACCUCAAGGCCCAAGAACAAGAUGUUAGACAAGAGGCAGCUGCUGAAUCCAGAACAAGCCAAAAAACUUUGGCAAGGUGAGCAGGAAGGAAAUACGCGGUACAGGGCAGAGAGAUGAAAGUUGAGUGGAUAGUGAGCUGCCACAGGCCCUGCCUCCGCCAGUACCACUCAGCAGAUUCCAUCAUGGGGUGAUCACAUAUCAAAUUUCAACAGGGAAGUGAUCACAUUAUACAACUGCCAAAACACUGAGAAUCAUGGCCCAGCCAAGUUGACACAUGUUCUUAAUCAUUGCAACUGCCAAAAGAAUGAACAAAUCUGUCUUGGAAGAACUACAACCAGAAUGCUCCUUAGAAGCAAGGAUGGUGAGACUGCAUCUCACAUACAUGUUACCAGGUGGGAUCAGUCCCUGGAGAAGGACAUCAUGCUUGGUAGACGGCCGAUGAAAAAGAGGAAGACCCUUAAUAAGAUGGAUUGGCACAAUGGCUGCAACAACGGGCUCAAGCAUAACAACGAUUGUGAGAAUGGCACAGGACCAGGCAGUGUUUCGUUCUGUUGUACAACUCAACAGCACCUAACAACAACAAUAAUCACAGCAGCAUCUCCAAAUACUUGAGAAAUAAUUGUAUAUGUGUGGAAGAACUAUUAUUCAGAUACUUUACAGUUAGUUUUGGCUUACCACCCACCCACCCACUUCACCCCUCCCAUAGGGAGCCUCUGGGAGCCAUUUGUUGUAUGUGGCACUAUUCGCUGGGGCAGUUGAUUAGACCAGGAAUAAGCAGCUAACCUGAGAUGGACUAUUCAGAAGCUCCCUCCUGAGAAUUUGGUAUCAGAAACUUGUUGUUAGCCUCUGUGCAUGGGUAAAGAUGAGGGAAUAUAUGGUUCGGGGCAUUAAGUAAUUGUUUUUCUCCAUGUUCACUUAUUAUUUAUUCGACAAAUACCUAUUUUUUGCCUACUACGUGCCAGGCACUGUGCUAGGUGCUGGGAUUCAGCAGUAUCCUUGCCCUAUUGGAGAUUCCAUUCUAUCGAGAAGCAGAGCAAGCCUGACUGUACAGAUAUGAUCUUUAAUGUUAUCACCAUCUAAUAUUUUUUAUUAUCUCUAAUAUUUUACAGGCUGUUCUCUCCUAAAUCAACAGCACAACAUACCAUGGUUUUAUCACAUUUAGCUUCCCCUUCUAAGUUAUUUUUGAGCACGUUUUCAGCAUCAGCACCAAUGCUUAAAAAAAAAGCUUGAUUGACGAUGGCAGGAUAUUAGAGAGAGUUUUAAUUAUAACAAUGAAUGUGGAAUCAGUCACAGAAGUUGGGAUGUGUGGUCACAAGACUACCUAAAAAGGACAGUGUUUUUGUUUAUCAGCUGUAGCAGUGCCGCCAGGUGGCGAAAUGGUAAAUGAUGGACUUACACAAUUAAAAAUUUUUUUUUUAAUUGGGGAUGAGAAGAGAUUCAUGCACAUUAUUUCAAAAUCUGCACAUGAUGGGAGACUCUUCAGACUGUUUCAAAUGAGCGUAGUUUGAAUUUUCUUCAAAUGCAAUAUUGUACUAAGGGCUCCAUCUUGCUCUCUGAGCAGCCUCUAGCAACUCUUGGAGAGUUAGCCCCAGAGGUGAAAUCUUGAGAACUAGACAGGACCCCCCAAAGGUUCUACAGCAUCCUUUAUGAAGUCUUUCUUGACGCUCCUCAAGCAGUGCCAAUUUUCUCACGUGCUCCCAAAGAACUGGCUUUUAUGUUAACUUCAUUCAUUAACAUUCACUGAGUGCCUGUAUGGUACUCACUCUGGCCUAUUCUAGGCACUGUGGAUACAGCUGUGAACAAGUCAGGUUAAAAUUUCAGCCUUCACUUAUUACACUCUGAUUGUGACAUAUCUGUCUUCUUUAUUGUCCUGUGAGCCCUUUCACAACAAGGAUCUGUCUCAUUCCUCUUCAACGGAACCACACCUCACACCUGUGGGGUCCCCCAGUAAUAGUCAUGCUUCUCUUAAUGUCCACGAUACGUCCACAUAGAACGUUAUGUGAUUUGGACAUUCUGUGACCAUCAUAUUGUAUACAAGCAGUCCCUGUGUUACGAACAUCUGACUUGUGGCACCUUGUAUUUAAGAACAGACCGCCCUAAAGCCUAUGUCAUGAAUUGAAUUAUGUCCGCCCCCCCCCCCCAAAAUGUGUGUAUCAACUUGGCUAGGCCAUGAUUCUCAGUAUUCUGUGGUUGUCCUCCAUUUUGUGAUUGUAAUUUUCUGUUAAAAGGAUUAGGGUGGGAUUGUAAUGCCACCCUUACUCAGAUCACCUCCCUAAUCCAAUGUAAAGUGAGUUUCCCUAGGGUGUAGCCUGCACCACCUUUUUUCUCUCUAAAGAUAGAAAGGGAAGCAGAGAGUUGGGGGCCUUACGCCGCCAAGAAAGUGGUGCCGGGAGCAGAACACAUCCUUUGGACCUGAAGUUCCUGCGCUGAGAUACUCUCAGACCAAGGGAAGACUGAAGACAAGGCCCUUCCUCCUGAGCUGACAGAGAGAGAAAGCCUUCCCCUGGAGCCGGCACCCUGAACUCAGACUUCUAGCCUACGGGACUGUGAGAGAAUAAACUUGUCUUUGUUAAAGCCAUCCACUUGUGGUAUUUCUGUUAUAACAGCACUAAAUGACUAAGACAGCCUAUUAUAUUAAAAUUUUUACUUAAAUACAUAUAAUGGUUCAUAA